rnacentral:rRNA from 1 species
UAUUUAUUUGAGUUGGGGCUGCUGGCACACUCCCGUCAAUUUAUUUGAGUUCCCGUCAAUUCCUUUGAGUUGGCGGCUGCUGGCACAUCACUACCGCGGCUGCUGGCACACUGGCUUGUUGCGGCGCUCCCGUCAAUUCAUUUGAGUUGCGGCUGCUGGCACCCCCGUCAAUUCAUUUGAGUUGCGGCUGCUGGCACACGUCCCGUCAAUUUCUUUGAGUUACCGCGGCUGCUGGCACACGGGCUUGUUGCGGCUGCUGGCACAUACCCCGUCAAUUCCUUUGAGUUGGCGGCUGCUGGCACA